UGGCUAUUUGGAUGGUGUUCCAUUCUCGAUACACACGGGAAAGUGUUGCGCAUGAAAAACCCAGCAGCGUUGCAGUUCUUGACACACUCAAACUGAUGCGCCUGGCACUUACUACCAUACCCUGUUCAAAGAUAUGCCGCAAGAAGGAAAGGUCUUCAAAGUGUCCAGCACACCACAAACUGUGUCAUGCAGCCUACCAGCCAAAACAACAACUGGUGGAGUAGCGCUACCUGCAGCAUCCAGUCUCCAACAAAAGGAAUCUGCAUCCACAAGUCCUGCGCAGUCUCAAGAGAUAAUUACAAUGAUGUCUGCAUUUCAAACAAAGGUACUGCUGAAGCUACACAUUAUAAUUUAGAACCAGUGAGAGCAACUGAGGCUCCUUAAUCCUACAAGGCCAUCGACCACAGCUGAGGACCUCGACAUUCUGCCAUCACCGUUAGACUCUGUGGCUGACCUGAAGCUACUGUGUUAGUGGAUCUCAACAGAGGAGAAUUUUUGCAAACAGUUGUAUGUAUGGGUCUAACACAUUGGAGAAGACUAUGAGGAGGAUGAUAGGGCGCAUUGGGACCAACAGACUGUGGUCCCAGUUCAGUAUGAAAGGGAGAAAAAAGUUGGCAUUCGAAGACCUGCCUCUGUUAAGUCAUGGCAAAGGCCUGCAGCAGAUGCCACAGAGGCCAAAAUAACUGAGUAUGAGACCAAAAUCGGUGAAUGCAUGAAGCAUGCGCCAUUUAAGAACGGGGGCAACAAAUACAGAUCAAAGACCACAGCACCUGAAAUGAUGGAGAGAGACGGAAGCCCAAGAGAGAGAAGGAG
rnacentral:lncRNA from 1 species